UAUUGGACGAUGGGCGAAAGCCUGAUCCAGCAAUGCCGCGUGAGUGAUGAAGGCCUUAGGGUUGUAAAGCUCUUUUACCCGGGAUGAUAAUGACAGUACCGGGAGAAUAAGCUCCGGCUAACUCCGUGCCAGCAGCCGCGGUAAUACGGAGGGAGCUAGCGUUGUUCGGAAUUACUGGGCGUAAAGCGCACGUAGGCGGCUUUGUAAGUUAGAGGUGAAAGCCUGGAGCUCAACUCCAGAAUUGCCUUUGAUACUGCAUCGCUUGAAUCCAGGAGAGGUGAGUGGAAUUCCGAGUGUAGAGGUGAAAUUCGUAGAUAUUCGGAAGAACACCAGUGGCGAAGGCGGCUCACUGGACUGGUAUUGACGCUGAGGUGCGAAA
rnacentral:rRNA from 1 species